CGAGAAUUUUUCUCAAUGGGGGAAACCCUGAAGGAGCGACGCCGCGUGGAGGAUGAAGGUCUUCGGAUUGUAAACUCCUGUCAUUUGGGAACAAUUGUCACCGGUUAACUGCCGGGGGCUUGAUAGUACCAGAAGAGGAAGAGACGGCUAACUCUGUGCCAGCAGCCGCGGGAAUACAGAGGUCUCAAGCGUUGUUCGGAUUCAUUGGGCGUAAAGGGUGCGUAGGUGGCGGGGUAAGUCAGGUGUGAAAUCUCGGGGCUCAACCCCGAAACUGCACUUGAUACUGCCUUGCUCGAGUACUGGGGAGGAGAUUGGAAUUUACGGUGUAGCAGUGAAAUGCGUAGAUAUCGUAAGGAAGACCAGUGGCGAAGGCGAAUCUCUGGACAGUUACUGACACUGAGGCACGAAGGCCAGGGGAGCAAA
rnacentral:rRNA from 1 species